rnacentral:rRNA from 1 species
AUAGCAUAUCAAUAAGCGGAGGAAAAGAAACUAACAAGGAUUCCCCUAGUAACUGCGAGUGAAGCGGGAAAAGCUCAAAUUUAAAAUCUGGUAGUCUAUGGCUGCCCGAGUUGUAAUCUAGAGAAGCAUUAUCCGCGCUGGACCGUGUACAAGUCUCCUGGAACGGAGCGUCAUAGAGGGUGAGAAUCCCGUCUUUGACACGGACUACCAGGGCUUUGUGAUGUGCUCUCAAAGAGUCGAGUUGUUUGGGAAUGCAGCUCUAAAUGGGUGGUAAAUUCCAUCUAAAGCUAAAUAUUGGCGAGAGACCGAUAGCGAACAAGUACCGUGAGGGAAAGAUGAAAAGAACUUUGAAAAGAGAGUUAAACAGUACGUGAAAUUGUUGAAAGGGAAACGCUUGAAGUCAGUCGCGUCUAUUGGGGAUCAGCCUUGCUCUUUUGCGUGGUGUAUUUCCUGAUGGACGGGUCAGCAUCAAUUUUGACCAGUGGAAAAAGGCUAGGGGAAUGUGGCAUCUUCGGAUGUGUUAUAGCCCUUGGUUGUAUACAUUGGUUGGGAUUGAGGAACUCAGCACGCCGCAAGGCCGGGUCUUUGACCACGUUCGUGCUUAGGAUGCUGGCAUAAUGGCUUUAAUCGACCCGUCUUGAAACACGGACCAAGGAGUCUAACAUGCCUGCGAGUGUUUGGGUGGAAAACCCAUGCGCGUAAUGAAAGUGAAAGUUGAGAUCCCUGUCGUGGGGAGCAUCGACGCCCGGACCAGACCUUCUGUGACGGAUCCGCGGUAGAGCAUGUAUGUUGGGACCCGAAAGAUGGUGAACUAUGCCUGAAUAGGGUGAAGCCAGAGGAAACUCUGGUGGAGGCUCGUAGCGAUUCUGACGUGCAAAUCGAUCGUCAAAUUUGGGUAUAGGGGCGAAAGACUAAUCGAACCAUCUAGUAGCUGGUUCCUGCCGAGCCCUCUUCUCUCGGGUUA